CCUUGGCAACUCCAGACUGGUAACUCAACAUCUCCUGAUGGCUGCAAAAAUCAAAUCUUUUAGAGCAAAACCUUUCCAAAUCUUUUCCUCUUCCUCGAAGCUCUUAAAGUUGCAAUCUUCUUCAUCAUCCCCAACAGCCGCACAACCUUCAUUGAACCCAGAACCCAAAACCGCAACUGUAACAACACCAUUAACCCAACAACAGCUGGCCAAAAUCAACCUCUUAAUACCACGAUUAUGCCUCACAAAUAACAUAAACACCACCAUUAAUCUUACUCUCACAGCUUUACAAACAAACCCACCUCCCAAGUCUUUCUCUUCCUCCGUUUUACUUAACAACCUAACUGGGUCCUCCGCAUGGCUCUUUUAACCAAACUCAAACACACCUCGCAAGCACAUUCACGGCUCACCUUAAUCACCACACUUCUUGUGUCUUCAUAUCUCAAAAAGAGUAGGCCAAAAGAGGCAUUAAAAGUGCACAACUAAAUGCUGAGGACUGGCUCUCCAUGUAAAGUGGAGACGGUGGUGUGUGAGGUUUUGGUUGAUGUGUUGUGUAGAAGUCGUAGGUUGUGGAGGCUUUGAGGGUUUUAAGAGAAGUUUGGUGAAUGAAUUUGGCGGUGAAAGGUGGUUCGAGGAGAAGGGUUUUUAGGAGUUAGUUGAGAGAAGCUAGAAUUAAGGGGGCUAAGGAAUUGAAUAAAGCUUUGGGGAGAGUUCAAGGGGAGGGCUUGAAGGAAUUCUUGGCCUUGUUGGAUCAGAUUCUUGCUAAUUGGACGGACUACUGCGGUGCAGCAUUUAUUGUUGUUGCGUGUAUUUGGUGACCCGACAUUGUGCUUGAGUUUGCUUGUUGAUGGAUGGUGGUGACUGGAGAAGAUAUAUAACCAUUGAAUUGGGUACAACAACUCCUUUUAGUUUCCAAUAUCUGCAAAACAACAAAAGCUGAUCAAGAAUUUUGGUGGAUAUGGUGCAGCUUGUGAAGGACUACUAGGAUCCAAAGCAUCAACUUUUCACAGCCUCCAUUUCUGAUAGGAGCAAGCAAGUAUCGAAUCAGCAAAAGCAUAGUAACCCAUGUAAAUUUUAGGUGAAUUUAUUUGUUUGAUGGGUCGACUUAGGUGGCCUGAAAUAGUAAAAUGGGGUGAAGGCACAGUCAUUUCAUAAAAGGACAUCGAAAUUUCUACAGAAAAACAUUCUUCCUUGAGAAGCCAGAGUGAGAUGUCCUUAGAAAUGAAAUCUGUAAACAUCUUUUAUAUACUGAAAUUACUGAAUGAGUUCUGUGUUUCCACAUCAGGUACGUCUGGACUAUCGGAACUCAAGCAAGUGACACUAUUCAAUCACUGUCUGCUCCACACACAUACACAAAGAAAGAGCUUUACCAAGCGGUUUCUGAUGCUGUUAUUGCAUGUUUAAAGAUCGUUGAAGAAAUCUGCUGGCAAAGUUUCUAAGAGCUGCAGAGUAUUGUCACUCUAAAUUCUAUAUGGGAUGCUUAAAGACUGGAGAAGGCAUCAAAGGAACAAGUUUUGACUUGGAGAAAGUAUGAAUCGAAUUCAUAAUGAGGACCAUUACAAAAAGCAUCCCGGUUAACUUCACAAUGUUGAGAAUAUUGAUAUGGACCUUGUGUUACUGAAAUCAUUUUGAUUAUAAUUCUUUUUUGUUGUUGUUUUAAUACCAUCUGCCAAUCAGUUCAACCA